GAGUUUGAUCAUGGCUCAGGACGAACGCUGGCGGCGUGCUUAACACAUGCAAGUCGAACGGUGACCUCGGAGCUUGCUCCGGGUGAUCAGUGGCGAACGGGUGAGUAACACGUGAGCAACCUGCCCCCGAUCUGGGAUAACCCCGGGAAAUCGGAGCUAAUACCGGAUACGAGACGCACAGGCAUCUGUUGCGUCUGGAAAGAAUUUCGGUCGGGGAUGGGCUCGCGGCCUAUCAGCUAGUUGGUGGGGUAGUGGCCUACCAAGGCGACGACGGGUAGCCGGCCUGAGAGGGCGACCGGCCACACUGGGACUGAGACACGGCCCAGACUCCUACGGGAGGCAGCAGUGGGGAAUAUUGCACAAUGGGCGCAAGCCUGAUGCAGCGACGCCGCGUGAGGGAUGACGGCCU
rnacentral:rRNA from 1 species